rnacentral:rRNA from 1 species
GAGGAAUAAGCAUCGGCUAACUCCGUGCCAGCAGCCGCGGUAAUACGGGGGAUGCAAGCGUUAUCCGGAAUCAUUGGGCGUAAAGCGCCUGUAGGUUGUUUAAUAAGUCUGUUGUUAAAGACUAGGGCUUAACCCUAGAAAAGCAAUGGAAACUACUAGACUAGAGUAUGGCAGGGGUAGAGGGAAUUUCUAGUGUAGCGGUGAAAUGCGUAGAUAUUAGAAAGAACACCGGUGGCGAAAGCGCUCUACUGGACCAUUACUGACACUCAGAGGCGAAAGCUAGGGUAGCAAAAGGGAUUAGAUACCCCUGUAGUCCUAGCCGUAAACGAUGGAUACUACAUGUUGUGUUUAUUUCACAGUAUGGUAGCUAACGCGUUAAGUAUCCCGCCUGGGGAGUACGCUCGCAAGGGUGAAACUCAAAGGAAUUGACGGGGGCCCGCACAAGCGGUGGAGCAUGUGGUUUAAUUCGAUGCAACGCGAAGAACCUUACCAGGGCUUGACAUACUGCGAAUCUUUCCGAAAGGAAGGAGUGCCUUCGGGAAUGCAGAUACAGGUGGUGCAUGGCUGUCGUCAGCUCGUGUCGUGAGAUGUUGGGUUAAGUCCCGCAACGAGCGCAACCCUUGUUUUUAGUUACCAAUUCGUUGGGUUUUCUAGAAAGACUGCCGGUGACAAACCGGAGGAAGGUGAGGAUGACGUCAAGUCAGCAUGCCCCUUAUGUCCUGGGCUACACACGUGCUACAAUGGUUAGGACAAAGAGUUGCGAGCUUGUGAAAGUCAGCUAAUCUCAUAAACCUAGCCCAAGUUCAGAUUGUAGGCUGCAACUCGCAAAGGGAUGAAG